GGGGAUUUAGUUCAGUGGUAGAGCGCUUGCCUAGGAAGCGCAAGGCCCUGGGUUCGAUCCCCAGCUCCA
rnacentral:tRNA from 1 species